rnacentral:rRNA from 1 species
CAGCCCUAAACGAUGCGCGUUAGGUGUAUCGGUGACCACGAGUCACCGAGGUGCCGAAGGGAAACCGUGAAACGUGCCGCCUGGGAAGUACGGUCGCAAGGCUGAAACUUAAAGGAAUUGGCGGUGGAGCACCACAACGGGUGGAGCCUGCGGUUUAAUUGGACUCAACGCCGGGAAGCUCACCGGAUAAGACAGCGGAAUGAUUGCCGGGCUGAAGACCCUGCAUGACCAGCUGAGAGGAGGUGCAUGGCGUCAGUU